rnacentral:rRNA from 1 species
AUUGAACGCUGGCGGCAUGCCUAACACAUGCAAGUCGAACGAGGUAGCAAUACCUAGUGGCGGACGGGUGAGGAAUACGUAGGAAUCUGCCCUUAAGUGGGGGAUAACCCGGGGAAACCCGGAUUAAUACCGCAUAUUCUGCGAGCAGGAAAGUGGGGGAUCGCAAGACCUCACGCUUUUGGAGCGGCCGAUGUCGGAUUAGCUAGUUGGUGGGGUAAAGGCCUACCAAGGCGACGACCCGUAGCGGGUCUGAGAGGAUGAUCCGCCACACUGGAACUGAGACACGGUCCAGACUCCUACGGGAGGCAGCAGUGGGGAAUCUUGCGCAAUGGGCGAAAGUCUGACGCAGCAACGCCGCGUGUGUGAUGAAGGUCUUCGGAUCGUAAAGCACUGUCGGGAGGGACGAAUAAGGGCCGGGUGAACAAUCCGGUUCGAUGACGGUACCUCCAAAGGAAGCACCGGCUAACUCUGUGCCAGCCGCCGCCGUAA